GAAUCUGCCUGGUAGUGGGGGAUAACGUCCGGAAACGGGCGCUAAUACCGCAUACGUCCUGAGGGAGAAAGUGGGGGAUCUUCGGACCUCACGCUAUCAGAUGAGCCUAGGUCGGAUUAGCUAGUUGGUGGGGUAAAGGCCUACCAAGGCGACGAUCCGUAACUGGUCUGAGAGGAUGAUCAGUCACACUGGAACUGAGACACGGUCCAGACUCCUACGGGAGGCAGCAGUGGGGAAUAUUGGACAAUGGGCGAAAGCCUGAUCCAGCCAUGCCGCGUGUGUGAAGAAGGUCUUCGGAUUGUAAAGCACUUUAAGUUGGAGGGAAGGGCAGUAAGUUAAUACCUUGCUGUUUUGACGUUACCAACAGAAUAAGCACCGGCUAACUUCGUGCCAGCAGCCGCGGUAAUACGAAGGGUGCAAGCGUUAAUCGGAAUUACUGGGCGUAAAGCGCGCGUAGGUGGUUCAGCAAUGUGGAUGUGAAAUCCCCGGGCUCAACCUGGGAACUGCAUCCAAAACUACUGAGCUAGAGUACGGUAGAGGGUGGUGGAAUUUCCUGUGUA
rnacentral:rRNA from 1 species